UUAUUUCUUAAUAACUAAAAAUAUGGUAUAAUACUCUUAAUAAAUGCAGUAAUACAGGGGCUUUUCAAGACUGAAGUCUAGCUGAGACAAAUAGUGCGAUUACGAAAUUUUUUAGACAAAAAUAGUCUACGAG
rnacentral:misc_RNA from 4 species